AACGUCAAAACUGCGUAGGUGAGGUUAUGUCUUAAUAAAUAUAAAGGUUAAUUGUUAAUUUUUAUGUGCAACCAAUCGAUUUAAAACGAUUCUAAAAGUGAUAUAACUAUUAAAACAAAGUCAAGAACAUUUCCGUUUAAUAUUUUUUGAUUUGAUUCUUAUUUCCCCAAAAAUGGAUGAUGAAGAAUUAACAAGAUUGGCUGUGGAAGAAUUAAUUCGUGACGCAAAGAAAUUUAUGGCAAAACGUGAGGCUGAAUUUAAAGCAACCCAAAUGAAACGGCCCAUGCAGACAAACAAGGUUUUUUUAAAUAAUAUCUUAAAAAAUACUGUCCAACAUAAUAAUCAACUGAAAAUGAAUCAAAUAAGGAAUAAAAUGAGGAACAAUGGAAUUAAGAAAGCUAAAGAGAAGAAUAAAGAGGCUUCGGAAUCGAAAUAAUCUUUAUUUUGAUUAUUUAUUAUUAUAAGUUUUAUUUUUAUAUUCUCUAAUAAACAAAUUAACUAAAAA